CGAAGGAUCGUUGCGUUUUUCAUUCGUGAAAAUAACACCAAACCCUUCCCUUUUAAUUAACCGCAACGUUUCCAACCGAAUAUAAAACGCAUCUGCCAUCCUAAUUUCCCUUUGGCCGAGAGAAAACGGGAACAAUUUGCGGCCAACGUUUAUUCGUCAAAAAGGUUGAAAAUUUUGCCAAAUUGCCGCGUUCCACGAUGCGACGAGGAGGAGGGAAU